rnacentral:rRNA from 1 species
AGCAUGUGGUUUAAUUCGAAGCAACGCGAAGAACCUUACCAGGUCUUGACAUCCUCUGACAAUCCUAGAGAUAGGACGUCCCCUUCGGGGGCAGAGUGACAGGUGGUGCAUGGUUGUCGUCAGCUCGUGUCGUGAGAUGUUGGGUUAAGUCCCGCAACGAGCGCAACCCUUGAUCUUAGUUGCCAGCAUUCAGUUGGGCACUCUAAGGUGACUGCCGGUGACAAACCGGAGGAAGGUGGGGAUGACGUCAAAUCAUCAUGCCCCUUAUGACCUGGGCUACACACGUGCUACAAUGGACAGAACAAAGGGCAGCGAAACCGCGAGGUUAAGCCAAUCCCACAAAUCUGUUCUCAGUUCGGAUCGCAGUCUGCAACUCGACUGCGUGAAGCUGGAAUCGCUAGUAAUCGCGGAUCAGCAUGCCGCGGUGAAU